AGAUUAUGAUUAGGGCACCUUUGCAGCAACCCUUUAAACCGUUCCUAAGCAUCAUAAAGUGAUUCAUCAAAUUCCUGGCGAAAAUUGAUGAUAUCAUUUCGAGUUU